GAUGAACGCUGGCGGCGUGCCUAAUACAUGCAAGUCGAGCGAACAGACGAGGAGCUUGCUCCUCUGACGUUAGCGGCGGACGGGUGAGUCACACGUGGAUAACCUACCUAUAAGACUGGGAUAACUUCGGGACACCGGAGCUAAUACCGGAUAAUAUAUUGAACCGCAUGGUUCAAUAGUAAAAUACGGUUUUUCUGUCACUUCUAGAUGCUUCCGCGCGGCAUUAGCUAGUUGGUAAGGUAACGGCUUACCAAGGCUACGAUGCGUAGCCGACCUGAGAGGGUGAUAGGCCACACUGGAACUGGGACACGGUCCAGACGCCUACGGGAGGCAGCAGUAGGGAAUCUUACGCAAUGGGCGAAAGCUUGACGGAGCAACGCCGCGUGAGUGAUGAAGGUCUUCGGAUCGUAAAACUCUGUUAUUAGGGAAGAACAAAUGUGUAAGGAAAUAUGCACGUCUUGACGGUACCGAAUCAGAAAGCAACGGCUAACUACGUG
rnacentral:rRNA from 1 species